rnacentral:rRNA from 1 species
GAGUUUGAUCAUGGCUCACAUUGAACGCUGGCGGCAGGCCUAACACAUGCAACUCCCGCGGUAGGGAAGCUUGCUUCCCACCAGCGGCGGACGGGUGAGUAAUGUAUGGGGAUCUGCCCGAUAGAGGGGGAUAACUACUGGAAACGGUAGCUAAUACCGCAUAAUCUCUCAGGAGCAAAGCAGUUCGUUGCGCUAUCGGAUGAACCCAUAUGGGAUUAGCUAGUUGGUGAGGUAAUGGCUCACCAAGGCGACGAUCCCUACCUGGUCUGAGAGGAUGAUCAGCCACACUGGGACUGAGACACGGCCCAGACUCCUACCGGAGGCAGCAGUGGGGAAUAUUGCACAAUGGGCGCAAGCCUGAUGCAGCCAUGCCGCGUGUAUGAAGAAGGCCUUAGGGUUGUAAAGUACUUUCAGUUGGGAGGAAGGCGUUGAUUAAUAUCAACGAUUGACGUUACCAACAGAAGAAGCACCGGCUAACUCCGUGCCAGCAGCCGCGGUAAUACGGAGGGUGCAAGCGUUAAUCAUAAUUACUGGGCGUAAAGCGCACGCAGGCGGUUGAUUAAGUAGAUGUGAA